rnacentral:misc_RNA from 1 species
UCCAACAAGUCAUCGGCUUCAUAGACGGCAUCUUUAAGCUCAUCCAGCCAAUCUUUGACUGCUGCCUUAGUAAUCUGUUUCUCCUCUGCUUCAUCAAGAACUCCAUUCACAGAUAUCAUAAUUGUCUUCAACUUCUCGAGCACUAAAUCAUUGAGGUUUUGAAGUCAAGAACCCCGCAAGAAGCUAUUCCAUCAAACACCACCUGGAGGAAAGCGGACAAGAAAGACCCUCCUACCAGCACCUCUGCCAUGUUUUUGGAGUUUAAAGACAAAUUUGAUCAAG